UCAUGGAAGAUUCUGGUUAGUGGGACUC
rnacentral:piRNA from 1 species